rnacentral:rRNA from 1 species
GAGUUUGAUCCUGGCUCAGGACGAACGCUGGCGGCGUGCCUAAUACAUGCAAGUCGAACGAACUCUGGUAUUGAUUGGUGCUUGCAUCAUGAUUUACAUUUGAGUGAGUGGCGAACUGGUGAGUAACACGUGGGAAACCUGCCCAGAAGCGGGGGAUAACACCUGGAAACAGAUGCUAAUACCGCAUAACAACUUGGACCGCAUGGUCCGAGCUUGAAAGAUGGCUUCGGCUAUCACUUUUGGAUGGUCCCGCGGCGUAUUAGCUAGAUGGUGGGGUAACGGCUCACCAUGGCAAUGAUACGUAGCCGACCUGAGAGGGUAAUCGGCCACAUUGGGACUGAGACACGGCCCAAACUCCUACGGGAGGCAGCAGUAGGGAAUCUUCCACAAUGGACGAAAGUCUGAUGGAGCAACGCCGCGUGAGUGAAGAAGGGUUUCGGCUCGUAAAACUCUGUUGUUAAAGAAGAACAUAUCUGAGAGUAACUGUUCAGGUAUUGACGGUAUUUAACCAGAAAGCCACGGCUAACUACGUGCCAGCAGCCGCGGUAAUACGUAGGUGGCAAGCGUUGUCCGGAUUUAUUGGGCGUAAAGCGAGCGCAGGCGGUUUUUUAAGUCUGAUGUGAAAGCCUUCGGCUCAACCGAAGAAGUGCAUCGGAAACUGGGAAACUUGAGUGCAGAAGAGGACAGUGGAACUCUAUGUGUAGCGGUGAAAUGCGUAGAUAUAUGGAAGAACACCAGUGGCGAAGGCGUCUGUCUGGUCUGUAACUGACGCUGAGGCUCGAAAGUAUGGGUAGCAAACAGGAUUAGAUACCCUGGUAGUCCAUACCGUAAACGAUGAAUGCUAAGUGUUGGAGGGUUUCCGCCCUUCAGUGCUGCAGCUAACGCAUUAAGCAUUCCGCCUGGGGAGUACGGCCGCAAGGCUGAAACUCAAAGGAAUUGACGGGGGCCCGCACAAGCGGUGGAGCAUGUGGUUUAAUUCGAAGCUACGCGAAGAACCUUACCAGGUCUUGACAUACUAUGCAAAUCUAAGAGAUUAGACGUUCCCUUCGGGGACAUGGAUACAGGUGGUGCAUGGUUGUCGUCAGCUCGUGUCGUGAGAUGUUGGGUUAAGUCCCGCAACGAGCGCAACCCUUAUUAUCAGUUGCCAGCAUUAAGUUGGGCACUCUGGUGAGACUGCCGGUGACAAACCGGAGGAAGGUGGGGAUGACGUCAAAUCAUCAUGCCCCUUAUGACCUGGGCUACACACGUGCUACAAUGGAUGGUACAACGAGUUGCGAACUCGCGAGAGUAAGCUAAUCUCUUAAAGCCAUUCUCAGUUCGGAUUGUAGGCUGCAACUCGCCUACAUGAAGUCGGAAUCGCUAGUAAUCGCGGAUCAGCAUGCCGCGGUGAAUACGUUCCCGGGCCUUGUACACACCGCCCGUCACACCAUGAGAGUUUGUAACACCCAAAGUCGGUGGGGUAACCUUUUAGGAACCAGCCGCCUAAGGUGGGACAGAUGAUUAGGGUG